CCUACGGGUGGCAGCAGUGAGGAAUAUUGGUCAAUGGACGAGAGUCUGAACCAGCCAAGUAGCGUGAAGGAUGACUGCCCUAUGGGUGGUAAACUUCUUUUAUAUGGGAAUACAAUGUUCCAAGUGUGGGAUUUUGUAUGUACCGUAUGAAUCAGGAUAGGCUAACUCCGUGCCAGCAGCCGCGGUAAUACGGAGGAUCCGAGCGUUAUCCGGAUUUAUUGGGUUUAAAGGGAGCGUAGGUGGAUUGUUAAGUCAGUUGUGAAAGUUUGCGGAUCAACCGGAAAAUUGCAGUUGAAACUGGGAGUCUUGAGUACAGUAGAGGUGGGCGGAAUUCGUGGUGUAGCGGUGAAAUGCUUAGAUAUCACGAAGAACUCCGAUUGCGAAGGCAGCUCACUGGACUGCAACUGACACUGAGGCUCGAAAGUGUGGGUAUCAAACAGGAUUAGAUACCCGAGUAGUC
rnacentral:rRNA from 1 species